UCCUUGAGUGGUUCAAUGGUAAAGUGUUUGCUAUUUUACAUAAAUUGCCUAGGUUCAAAUCCUGGUAAGGUA